UCAUAUUUCCUAAGUACCCUGAACAUGUCAGAUCCCAUCUGAUCUUAGAGCUAAGCAAAACCAACUCUAGUUAGUACUGGGAUGGAAGAUCACCAAUGAAUACUAGGUGCUAUAUUUC
rnacentral:rRNA from 11 species